UGAACGGGGCCCACAAGGCUCAUCGAGUCCAGCUCCUGGCCCUGCACAGGGCUGCCAUAAGAGCCACACCGUGUUCCUGAAGGCAUUGUCCAAACAGCUCUUGAGCUCUGUCAGGGUUGGUGCUGUGACCACUUUCCUGGAGAGCCUGUCCCAGUGCCCAACCACCCCCUGGGUGAAGCACCUGGUCCUAAUAUCCAACCUAACCCUUCCCUGCCUUCGUGCCCUUGCUAUCCCUCACUCUCCAAAUGACAUAACAGAAGAAAGGCCCUCAGAACCGCGAGUCUCUCCCUGCUCCUCGGGCUUCUGCCAUUGCCGUCACGGGGGAAGGGAUGGAGGGACGGCCCCUCAGUGCCUGUGAGGCCGCGCUGGCUGCGGGGCUGGGCACAGUGUGGGAUCCCUGCAGCAUCCCCCGCCCUCAGAGGUCCCACUGAUAGAGGCUGCCCAGCGCAAGCCGGCCUCAAAUCCCCCGUUUUCCCAUUUCAUCCCCCUCCCGGGUUUGCCAUUGUGAGCCCCAGGAACUAACCCUCGCCCCAGACCCCGGCGCAAGGCGGGCAAGCCUGGGGUUGUGCAGGCCCCGGCGGGACGGGGCCCGGGGAGGUGCCUUUGAGCCGCCGGAGCGUUUGCAGAGCAGCAAAACCGACGGCUUCAGCUGCGGUGCUUUGGAUUGCUGCCAGGGGAGUGAGAGGAGCAAGAAACAUUCCCCUAAAUAUUUGGGAGUUGGCAAUUCUCUUUGCUGCCCAUGGAUGACUGAUAAUUGUUGGGGAAUUACUAUUGGCUGCUCGGAAGCACGAUGUCAAGAGAGAAAGUGUUUCAUCCA